rnacentral:rRNA from 1 species
UCGGGAAUAUUGCGCAAUGGAGGGAACUCUGACGCAGUGACGCCGCGUAUGGGAAGAAGGUUUUCGGAUUGUAAACCAUUGUCGUUAGGGAAGAAGAAGUGACAGUACCUAAGGAGGAAGCUCCGGCUAACUAUGUGCCAGCAGCCGCGGUAAUACAUAGGGAGCGAGCGUUAUCCGGAUUUAUUGGGUGUAAAGGGUGCGUAGACGGGAAUUUAAGUUGGUUGUGAAAUCCCUCGGCUCAACUGAGGAACUGCAACCAAAACUGGAUUUCUUGAGUAUUGGAGAGGAAAGUGGAAUUCCUAGUGUAGCGGUGAAAUGCGUAGAUAUUAGGAGGAACACCAGUGGCGAAGGCGGCUUUCUGGACAAUAACUGACGUUGAGGCACGAAAGUGUGGGGAGCAAACAGG